rnacentral:rRNA from 1 species
GAUGAACGCUGGCGGCGUGCCUAACACAUGCAAGUCGAACGAACGGACGAUAAGCUUGUGCCUCUGAUGUUAGCGGCGGACGGGUGAGUCACAAGUGGAUCACCUACCUCUAUGUCUGGGGUGACUUCGGGAAAACGGAGAUGAUACCAGAUCAUAUUUUGAACGGGUUGGUUCAAAGGAUAAAGGCGGCCUUGCCGUCUCUAAUAGCUGAUUCCGGGCUGGAUUAGCUAGUUGGUAAGGUAACGGCUUACCAAGGCGACGAUGCGUAGCCGACCUGAGAGGAUGAUCGGCCACACUGGAACUGAGACACGGUCCAGACUCCUACGGGAGGCAGCAGUAGGGAAUCUUCCGCAAAGGGCGAAAGCCUGACGGAGCAACGCCGCGUGAGUGAUGAAGGUCUUCGGAUCGUAAAACUCUGUUAUUAGGGAAGAACAUCUGUGUAUGAAAAUGUGCCCAUCUUGACGGUACCUAAUCAGAAAGCAACGGCUAACUACGUG